GACAACACUGGCUGUAUGAGAGAUGAAUGUUGUGUCUGUUACAGAUGAAAAUCACGCCACCUUGAUUGGCCCCAGCACGACAAUGACAAAUUGUAAUCAACAGUCCUGCCUAAAGCAAUCCCAGGGUCUGCAGAGGUGGCACAGGAGAAUCUGCAAACAAUGAUCCCUUGCUUCACAUCCUUCACCUUGCUAAUGUUUGUGACCUUUCUGAAAAGGUAAAAUCAAUCUUAUUCAUAUUACAAAAUCAAAAGUUUUCUGUUGCCCAUGUAGAAUUGAUAAGUAGUUUCAUGAGCUUUAUUUUGUU
rnacentral:lncRNA from 1 species